GUGGGGCGCUGGCCACAGGGCAGGCGAGGGGCCACUUUUCCCCAGGCCACAUUUUACUGGGGUCCUCCCCUGCCCUUCCCCGCCCUUCCCCCUUACCUGAGUUUCCAGCAGGGGGCAGCCACAUGUUCCCAUGUCAGAAACCCCUGCUGGGGCUUCCGGCUGGGGGGGCAGGGCUGGGUAGGCCAUGCUGUUGUGGGAGCCACUGGGCUUCCCCUGGGUCCUACUGCCACUGGUUCCUGUCAUUUUUUACAGGAACCAAGGGUAGAUAAAUAUUAAUUUUCCAAUUUUUUUUAGGUGCCCCGUGGGCCAAAUCCAGCCUGUGGGCCAUAUUAUGCCCACCCCUGCUUUAGCGCCUCUACAAUAGAAUAAAAAGCAAUAGGAGGAACUGGUGGGGACAGGAUAGAUUUUGACAUACAUCUGGCUAGCAUGAAUGCUUCAGUGUAAGCAAGCUAGCAAAUGCUGAGUUACAUUUGCCCCCUGUAUCGAUUUGAAGAACAGCACUGAAAAAAAAAAAAAAACAAAUUUUCUUUUGUUGAGAUGCACCUUCAAAAUUGAGAUGCACCUUCAAAAUCGCACUUCAUACAUGAGACCACUGUGCAACCUUGCCUCUGCCAGAGGUGGUUCAUACAUAUGUUUGUGGAUAUCCCAUUACCAUUAAAUGACCUACACCUCAAAUUCUUUAUAAUCUAUUAUACUUGGGGACCUACUGAAUUCGGCGUGGCUGCCCCCAAUUUCACUGUCUGUGCGUGGCGUCGGGUGCUGUUUUCCAGGAAGAGUGGGGCAGGCCCACCCAUGCCUCUGGCUGAGGGGUCCCAGAAGUCCUGCCCCUCCCCCAGAGAUUGACAGAUGGCAAUCUGUUAAUCUUGGGGAGGGCCAGGACUUCUGGAGCCACUUGGCCAAUCAGAGGCAUGGGGGUUGGGGGAACCCUGCUGUAUUCCACCAUGAAAAUCCUCACCCCAGCACAGCUCCCCCCAUGCUUCAGGAUGCCAGGGCUUCCUGCCUGUUUCUGUUUUUAUAGUGCUUGCCCCUCCCACCCCCCAGCUUGCUGCUGAUUUUGCACCUUUUCACAGUCCUCGCACCCUUUAUGUGGGGACUGCGCUUUUCACGGAGACCAAAUUCACAGGUUCUGCAAAAAUCACAAAUUUGAUAUGUCCCUAACUAUACCAAUCCAACAGCCACAUUUCUAUUUCUGUUCUGCACAACAUAAAAAUCCCAUGCACUGGUACAGGUUGGGAACUGCCUGACUGGGCAGCAGCUCUGUAGAACAGGAUUAGGGGGUUACAGUGGACAAUAAACUGAAUAUGAGCCAACAGUGUGCCCUUGUUGGCAAGAAGGCUAAUGACAUACUGGGCUGCAUUGGUGGAGGUGUUGCCAGUGGAUCAACACAAGUGAUUAUUCCUGUCUGUUAAGCACUGGUGAGACCACAUCUGGAGUACUGUGUCUAGUUUUGGGCCCCCCACUACACAAAAGAUGAGGACAAAUUGGAGAGAGUCUGGCAGAGGGCAAUGAAAAUGGUUUGGGAGCUGGAGUACAUGACUUCUGAGGAGGGGCUGAGGAAACUGGGCUUAUUUAGUUUGGAGAAAAGAAGACUGAGAGGGGAUUUAAUAGCAGCCUUCAACUACCUGAAGGGUGGUUCCAAAGAGGAUGGAGCUGGACUGUUCUCAGUGGUAGCAGAUGACAGAACAAGGAGCAACGGUCUCAAGUUGCAGCAAGGGAAGUUUUGGUUAGAUAUUAGGAAACACUUUAUCACUAGCAGAGUAGUAAAGCACUGGAACAGGUUAUCCAGGUCAUGGACUCUCCAUCCUUGGAGGUUUGAGCAGGGGGUUGUACUAGAUGACCUCCCAAUGUCUCUUCCAACCCUCACUUUCUAUGAUUCUCUCAUUCUCUUGAUAACCCAGGCUGAUGAUACUGUACCUUUGAUUCACUCGUACUCGUCUUUAGGAUUUUGGCGUGUGGCAGAAGGGGACAAGGGGAGCAUGGAAUUAAUAACUAUUAUCAUUAGAAUUUUUGCUGGGGGAGGAGAUCCUAGGAAACCUUAGUAAAGUCUAAAUCAGCUUUAUAAAAAGCCUUACAAUACAAAGGGUAGUAGAUAGCAAUUAUGUUCUUGUCCUGUGUAGGACAUACAUCUUUCCAGCAGGAGGAGUCCUAUGACUAAAUUGCUUUCAGCGUGUCCUCUGUGGAUUAGUCUGACAGUUUACAAGGAAAGCAGACAGGACUGAAAACAGUGGAAGAGCUCAAAUGUUGUUUUAAUUUUUUAUCUGCAAUAACAAAUGUUUGAAGUGGCAUGGGGGAUGUAUUCAUGAGGCUAGUUAAAUCUAAUUUCCCAGCUACCAUAAAAUAAACUGGUGUGAUAAAAUAAGCUUCAGAAGAGAUAAAACAAGCAUUUUUAGAAGGAGAGAGAGACUGGUUCCCAGUAAAAGCUUUAGAAAUAACCAUAAAUGUGACAUUGACAGUAACUUUAUAUCAAUACCUCAUACCUCAGGGGCUUCCAACUGAAACAGAGCUUAGGUGGCUUUGGGCUGGACUACUGUGAAUAUGUAGAAGAGAGGACAUGGCCUCUCCCAUCCACAUUCACUAGCUGCAGGAGGUGACAGAGAAGCACCCUCUACAUAUUGCCUGUAUUACUCAAUUGCCAAAUUGUGCAAUUAACUUAGACUGGUGUACAUGCAAAUUAACAAUCAUGCCAUAAAAAAGUUCAACCAACUAUAAAACUAUUGCUGAAAAUGUGUAAUAACUCUAUAUCUGGUUGCUAUCCACCUUUAAUUUGCACGUGUAGCAGGGUGGUUGAGAGUCCUGUCAGCUGAUCAGACUCCCAGCUGCGGGGCUACACCAUGCACAACCAGUGCUGGGAUUCCCACGGCUGAGGAGACUCUCAGCCGUGGCAGUGCAGGACUCUGGAUCCCAGCAGCUGCAGGACACAGCUGUGAUUUUCCCAGCUCCAGGGGUGCAUGGAGCACCCCUGCAGCUGGAAGCCCUGUCAGCUGAGGGGGCUCCCAACCAUGGGAGCCUGCUUUCUGCCGGGGCAGGAAGGGCCCGGGAUGUGGCAUGACAGGAGGUGUGAUUGUAUGGAUUGUACAUUAGAUCCCAACAAACCUUUACCUGCAUAUGUAGAGGGGGCCAAAAUAAUGUAUGGAUGUAUCAUUAUGCAAAGUUAAAAUGCGGGGAGAUACUCUCCAUUGUUCAUAAAAUUAAUUUUAACAUGCCACUUCAGUUUACAGUUGUUUGAGAGAGAGAGAUCUGUUGCUUACUAUAUUUUAAUGGGAUGAUCUCAAUUAAUUUACAGUCAGUAAUUAAUAAAUCUCUUAAUACAUCUGUGACAUACAUGCAGUCUCCACAGACUGGUAGUCUACACAGUCCCUAGUCUACACAGAGGGAAAAGAAGACAGGGGAUUUUUUUAUUAUUAUUCCAAAGGUGAUGACUAUCUUGGGUGUUUGUCUAAGACCACCUUUAAAGGGUCUGAUAUGCAAAAAAAGUGCUGAGAACUAACCCCUUGAAAAUCAGACCUUUAUAAGGUAUGUCACUUUGGGUACUCAGUCACUAGUCUCUUUUGAAAAUCUUUGCCUAAAUGCCUUAACUAUGGUCACGCUCCCAGUCAGCGGCAGAGUUAGGAACAGAGCUCAGAGCAGAGGACGUUUUCUGGAGUACUAGGUUACUGACAUUUACCUUUGAUUAAAUCUGGUGUUAUUAGCUUUGAAGGACAUGUGGAAAGUUACAUGGAGACCAGUGUCAAAAUUUGACUCUUAAAAAUGUAACUUUAAGCAAGAAAUGUAAAUAAGUAGAAGACAGGAACCAUUCCCAAAAUAUAUUUUUAUAUAAGAAUCUAAUGUUGCUGUUGUUUAAUAAAUGAACGAAAUAUGAUAUGGAGCAGUAGGGGAUUUAUGUGGAGUAAUAGGCUUUGUACUGGUCUUCUGUGCCAGAGUGACUUUCAGCUUAUACCUUUAUCACAAAAUCAGCAUAUGUAGGAGGAAGUUGUCUUUUCUCUGGUAAAAUUAAACCCAUUAAAUGUCUUAUCUUAUACUGUUAAUCCAAAAGGAUUCCUUUUUGUAUGUACAGACACAACAAAUCCUUCCUUCCUUCCUUGUAAAACAAUACUAGCUGUAAAUAAGUAAGAACACACUAAUGUUAAGCAAAUCUUUUAUUCAAAUGUCAGCAUCCUGGGGACUAAAUUGAAAUCAUCUUCAAGAAAGAGCAUGGCAUCUUAUAUCAAUGUUUUGUUUGCAUUUCUUAUGAGAAUUGUGAAGUAGUUAGGGUGCAACUGCAGCCUCUGGCAGUGAACAAAAGCUCAUCUUAAAUUACUGUCCUGUGCCAAGGAAAACUCUCAAACAAAAGAGGUUCUCACUUGAUUUCUAAAGGAGUUGCUGUUUGCUUUCCAGUUCAACAAAGCAUUAUUAAAGCUGAAUUGUCUUUGCUAUCGAAUAUCUGUUAGGAAAAUUUUGCAUGACAUGGUUUUUUUCUGGUGUAAGAAAUCUCCCUAAAUAUGUUACCUAUGUACUAUUUGAACCCACAGGGUUUGGGUAUUUGUGUGGGAGUAGGGAAGGGGGAGGCUCAAACAUUUACUAGCAAUUUUUUGUGGAAAACUCUUGGAGGUUCAGAAGAGGUACAGGACUCUCCCCUGUUAGUACAGAUCUGUUACCCCCAAAAGUACAGUUUUGUGGGUUUUUUUAACUCUCUCGUGCACUUCUUUAUAUUGAUCUCUAUCUGAAGAUAAGCUUUUGAUACACAUAGCAAAAGCUGGAGGGGUUAAAGUGACAAAAACUGUUAGUAUCAUGGAAAAAUUCUCAAGAAAGAUUAGAAUGGUUUAGAAUUAAAGAAGAGCUUGAAUAAGAAAUUAUGUGAUAAAAUAUGCAGAAUAAUUCAUAGUACAGAGAAGUACUGGAUAGACAUCACAUACCUCACCCUUUUUUUCAUCAAUCAAGAGCAAGGAGAUAUUUGAAGGCAAGAAAAUAAAUUUAAAUGUAAUCAAACAAAAUAUUAUUUUAUAUAACACACACUUCUACUGUGGAAGUCAUUGUCAAGUGGUAUAAUUAAGGCCAAUCACUUGGCAAGUGAAAAAAAGAAAGAGGCAUUUAGGCCAGGUACAGACAUUGUACUUUUACCUGUAUAAGUGAUUGGAAGCAGGUUUAUGCCCAUAGUAGAACAGAAGUUUGGCAUGCAUAAACUGACUGGUACAAAAACAGCAGAACCUGGUCUAAGAUUUGCCCCCUGCCCCUAAACUAUUCUGUUUAUAGAAAACCACUUAACUUAGAUCCUUGGGGUUGCUGAGUGGCUGUACCCAGUCUAGGGUAUUUCUAAUUAGUACUAAUUAAUCUAAUACUAAUUUAUAGAGCUGUUAUAAUAAGGAUGAAAAAGCUGAAUGUGAUUCAUAGGUUCCAGGAGGAAAUGGGGGACAGGACUAGAUGUUUCUACAGGGCUUCAAAUGGGGCAGAUAUGGGACAAAACUACCUGUUGUUUGUAUGCCGCCUAUUGCAGGGGGGGGCUCUGAUCUUUACCUGUAACUCUGUGCUAUCAAAGUAGAAAUAAUAAAUAAUAACUCAACCCAUGGCAUGACUUUGCAAGAUGUUCCUUCACAAGCCAAGUGUAAUAAAACAGUCUCAAAGCCCCUGUUAACUUUAGUAGCCUGAGGUUUGCUCUGAGAUUUAGACAGAUCUUUUAACUGGAAUUUGUAAGGGCUUCUAUGAAACUAUAUUCAAAACAAAAAUCAAACAAGAAAUAGUCAUAUCUGUCCAGAUUGCAAUUAGAGAUAGAAAAAAUACAUAGAUCUGUGAUGUUUUACAAGCCUAUAGAAAGUUCUAAAACAUAUGCUUUGACAAUGAUUUCAGGAAUAUUUUUUUCCUUUUGAAAUCCACAUUCUUCCCCCAGCCCGCUCAAAGGAAAAGAGAUUUUUUUAUUUGGCUCCCAGAACUGAUACAUUUCUAAAAGCUUCUGCAUUAUAGAUCUUGACUUCUGUUGCUGACUUUAACAGCUCCUUUGGAACAGAAGACUCAAUAUUAAUGCAAGUAACUAUUAUGGCAGCUUCAGACUUUACACAGAUUGUAACAGCUUGCGCUUCAAUGCUUUCUUUGCAAAACAGGUCUCUUCAUCCUGUCCUUCAUCUGUUCUUUUAGGUGUGAUGUGAUGGGACUAGCAUUUUUUGAUUCAGAUAAAUACUAUGCAUUUCUGUGGAUAUAUGGGUGAACCAGAAAGAAACAGUUUGUAUCUCUGCCAUGGACUGAGUCUGAAACUUUAUGAAGGGCUGGAAUGGUUCAGUGAAGAAAUGUCCUUCCUCAGGAACCCAGAUCACCCAGCUAGCCCAUAAACUGUUUUUCCUUCUGACUGUGAUCCCUAUAAAGAAGCUUCCCAGCCCCCUCAAAUUGUUAUGCCUUUGCUUUUAAAGGGGGCAUGGAUGGGAGCCUACUGCAUAACUGAGUGAAGACAUUAGCGUGCAACUUGUUUAUGAAGCUGUAUGAUUCAUAGCAGGAAAACAGAAGUUAUCAAGAUAUGGGCAAGAGCAGGAGCAGGACUUUUGGAGAUGCACAGUUAUCCACCUCCAGCCCAAAGAAGGACAGCUUUUAAGGAGCCCACAUGGAAAGCCAGACUUUUCUGCCAGCCUCCAUCCAUUUCAGCAAGAUGUUUACAUGGCAAGAAAAUGCUUCCAGUUUACUUUCAGGACCUCUUGUUUAUACCCGUCAUUCCAAAUGAGACUAUGAAAUGAUGAAGACAACAGGUAGCCAGAACAUUUUCAUAUAGUUGUUCUCCUUUUGCAUGUACACCAGGUAUAAAAAUGCCACCAGGUACCAAAAAUGUAUUUGUUUGGCUGUUCCAUAGCUAGUGAAGUGACUACUAGGAGUUCUGAUUCUCCUGUCACUUGCACCAGUUUUAUACUAAAAGCUUUCUACUAA